rnacentral:rRNA from 1 species
UAUUAACUCUGGCGGCGUGCCUAAUACAUGCAAGUCGAGCGAACAGACGAGGAGCUUGCUCCUCUGACGUUAGCGGCGGACGGGUGAGUAACACGUGGAUAACCUACCUAUAAGACUGGGAUAACUUCGGGAAACCGGAGCUAAUACCGGAUAAUAUAUUGAACCGCAUGGUUCAAUAGUGAAAGACGGUUUUGCUGUCACUUAUAGAUGGAUCCGCGCCGCAUUAGCUAGUUGGUAAGGUAACGGCUUACCAAGGCAACGAUGCGUAGCCGACCUGAGAGGGUGAUCGGCCACACUGGAACUGAGACACGGUCCAGACUCCUACGGGAGGCAGCAGUAGGGAAUCUUCCGCAAUGGGCGAAAGCUUGACGGAGCAACGCCGCGUGAGUGAUGAAGGUCUUCGGAUCGUAAAACUCUGUUAUUAGGGAAGAACAAAUGUGUAAGUAACUAUGCACGUCUUGACGGUACCUAAUCAGAAAGCCACGGCUAACUACGUG